rnacentral:rRNA from 1 species
CCUACGGGAGGCAGCAGUGGGGAAUAUUGGACAAUGGGGGCAACCCUGAUCCAGCCAUGCCGCGUGUGUGAAGAAGGCCCUCGGGUUGUAAAGCACUUUCAGUGAGGAAGAACGCCUGGUGGUUAAUACCCAUCAGGAAAGACAUCACUCACAGAAGAAGCACCGGCUAACUCCGUGCCAGCAGCCGCGGUAAUACGGAGGGUGCGAGCGUUAAUCGGAAUUACUGGGCGUAAAGCGCGCGUAGGUGGCUUGAUAAGCCGGUUGUGAAAGCCCCGGGCUCAACCUGGGAACGGCAUCCGGAACUAUCAAGCUAGAGUGCAGGAGAGGAAGGUAGAAUUCCCGGUGUAGCGGUGAAAUGCGUAGAGAUCGGGAGGAAUACCAGUGGCGAAGGCGGCCUUCUGGACUGACACUGACACUGAGGUGCGAAAGCGUGGGUAGCAAACAGGAUUAGAUACCCGUGUAGUC